GACAAGCAAAUUUGCAUUCCGGGAUGUAGAGUAGCUGUUGGACAAUUUAUAUAAUUUAUACUCUUUCCGUUGGCGAGCAUAUGAACGUUAACUAUUUCAGCGUCUACAUCAAAGUCAAGAUACUAAUAAAUUUGUAAGUUUGUAAUUUGGAACUUCUAGGAUUCAAGAUUCAAGCAUGACGAAUGGACGCUUCUUUAUCACCAUUGCAGUUUUUAUUUCGGUGUGUGUUUGCGCACAAGGAGGAAUAUUUCACUAUGGAAACAGAACAUGCAAUUGGACAGAAAAGAAAAGACCUGAAUAUUGUCUACGGUUUCAGGAUGGUGGCUCACGUAUUCUUGCAAUCAAUUGCCCGAGAGGAAAACAAGGGGAGGAGCCGAUAAACUGCAGUUACAAGGGAAAUCCGCAUUCAUGCCGUGCUUACCACAAAGAUCCAAUGCGAUUUUAUAAAUGCUUAGCCGACACACUUGCCAAAAUGGGUAAUCUGUGUACAAUCGAUUCUGUUAUUUGCCAGAGCAUGUGUGACGAAAUUAAAUUCGAAUUACAGUAAUAAUGCACAGAAUAAUAAUUCUUUGACAGUGUUUCAUUGAGCUUCUUGUUCAGUUCGCAGCAGACAUUUUUUUGUAUGAAAUCAUAUCUUUUUCAAUUAUAUACAGUUGUAUUAUAUUGUUUCUAUCAACCUUUCAGAAAAUAUACCAAAGUUUCAUUGAAA